CUGACUACAGAACAGAGGGACAAAGGC
rnacentral:piRNA from 1 species